AAAAACACUAGAUUGGAAAGAGGUAUUUUACAAUAACUUUGAAUGCACCACAAGGGUGGCGAGGCAAGUUUCAAGUGAACGCACCUCCUGUAUCUGCAGUCAGACCAUUAC